CAGCCGUAAACUAUGCGCGUUAGGUGUAUCGGUGACCACGAGUCACCGAGGUGCCGAAGGGAAACCGUGAAACGUGCCGCCUGGGAAGUACGGUCGCAAGGCUGAAACUUAAAGGAAUUGGCGGGGGAGCGCCACAACGGGUGGAGCCUGCGGUUUAAUUGGACUCAACGCCGGGAAGCUCACCGGAUAAGACAGCGGAAUGAUUGCCGGGCUGAAGACUCUGCAUGACUAGCUGAGAGGAGGUGCAUGGCGUAGACGUCU
rnacentral:rRNA from 1 species